CUGGCUCAGAUGAACGCUGGCGGCGUGCUUAACACAUGCAAGUCGAACGCGAAAGGGACUUCGGUCCUGAGUAAAGUGGCGCACGGGUGAGUAACGCGUGGAUAAUCUGCCCUUAUGAUCGGGAUAACAGUUGGAAACGGCUGCUAAUACCGGAUACGCUCAAAAUGAACUUUUUGAGGAAAGAUGGCCUCUGCUUGCAUGCUAUCACGUAAGGAUGAGUCCGCGUCCCAUUAGCUUGUUGGCGGGGUAACGGCCCACCAAGGCAACGAUGGGUAGCCGAUUUGAGAGGAUGAUCGGCCACACUGGAACUGAAACACGGUCCAGACUCCUACGGGAGGCGGCAGUGGGGAAUAUUGCGCAAUGGGCGAAAGCCUGACGCAGCGACGCCGCGUGAGGGAUGAAGGUUUUCGGAUCGUAAACCUCUGUCAGAAGGGAAGAAACUACGUUGUGCUAAUCAGCAGCGUACUGACGGUACCUUCAAAGGAAGCACCGGCUAACUCCGUGCCAGCAGCCGC
rnacentral:rRNA from 1 species